rnacentral:rRNA from 1 species
UACGAAGGGUGCAAGCGUUACUCGGAAUUACUGGGCGUAAAGCGUGCGUAGGUGGUGAGUUAAGUCUGAUGUGAAAUCCCCGGGCUCAACCUGGGAAUGGCAUUGGAUACUGGCUCGCUAGAGUGCGGUAGAGGGUGGUGGAAUUCCCGGUGUAGCAGUGAAAUGCGUAGAGAUCGGGAGGAACAUCUGUGGCGACGGCGGCCACCUGGACCUACACUGACACUGAGGCACGAAAGCGUGGGGAGCAAACAGG